UGACCUUUUAAAUAGGCGACGCGUCUACCAAGAAAGGCGCACCCAACAUUUUCAGCCAGACGCUGUAUUUGAUUUUUGGUGAGAGGUUCCGGUCAUCGUUGUUUCAAAGUACAUACCGGGAAUAAUAGGUGACGUCACGUAACAUGGCGAUUCUCCAGAACAGCUGCUGUUGCUGCAGUGUCCGCUUGGGGGCGCUUAUCAUCGGGGUCCUGUAUGUGAUCAUUCAUAUCAUCGACUUGGGAGUGAAGUCAAGCAGUGUCGCUCUCGGUUGGAAUGCCUAUGGAACCGAUGUGGCCUCGGUUGUUGUUGACGUCAUCGCCAUCAUUCUGGGCCUGCUGCUCAUCGUUGCUGUGUUGGGGG